rnacentral:rRNA from 1 species
CGGGCGACGGUUGUCCCGGUUUAAGCGUGUAGGCUGGUUUUCCAGGCAAAUCCGGAAAAUCAAGGCUGAGGCGUGAUGACGAGGCACUACGGUGCUGAAGCAACAAAUGCCCUGCUUCCAGGAAAAGCCUCUAAGCAUCAGGUAACAUCAAAUCGUACCCCAAACCGACACAGGUGGUCAGGUAGAGAAUACCAAGGCGCUUGAGAGAACUCGGGUGAAGGAACUAGGCAAAAUGGUGCCGUAACUUCGGGAGAAGGCACGCUGAUAUGUAGGUGAAGCGACUUGCUCGUGGAGCUGAAAUCAGUCGAAGAUACCAGCUGGCUGCAACUGUUUAUUAAAAACACAGCACUGUGCAAACACGAAAGUGGACGUAUACGGUGUGACGCCUGCCCGGUGCCGGAAGGUUAAUUGAUGGGGU